GCAUAUCAAUAAGCGGAGGAAAAGAAACCAACAGGGAUUCCCCUAGUAACGGCGAGUGAAGCGGCAACAGCUCAAAUUUGAAAUCUGGCCCUCGGGUCCGAGUUGUAAUUUGUAGAGGAUGCUUUUGGCGCGGUGCCUUCCAAGUUCCCUGGAACGGGACGCCUUAGAGGGUGAGAGCCCCGUACGGUUGGACGCCUGGCCUCUGUAAAGCUCCUUCGACGAGUCGAGUAGUUUGGGAAUGCUGCUCUAAAUGGGAGGUAAACUUCUUCUAAAGCUAAAUACCGGCCAGAGACCGAUAGCGCACAAGUAGAGUGAUCGAAAGAUGAAAAGCACUUUGAAAAGAGGGUUAAAUAGCACGUGAAAUUGUUGAAAGGGAAGCAUUUGCGACCAGACUUUUUCCGGGCGGAUCAUCCGGCGUUCUCGCCGGUGACUUCGCCCGGUUUAGGCCAGCAUCGGUUUCGUAGGGGGAUAAAGGCCUGGGGAACGUAGCUCCCUCGGGAGUGUUAUAGCCCCUCGCGCAAUACCCUUACGGGGACCGAGGACCGCGCUUAGGCAAGGAUGUUGG
rnacentral:rRNA from 1 species